AACGAACGCUGACGGCGUGCUUAACACAUGCAAGUCGCACGAGAAUUUCCGCCUUCGGGUGGAAUAGUAAAGUGGCGCACGGGUGAGUAACGCGUGGAUAAUCUGCCUUCAAGUAGGGAAUAACAUUGCGAAAGCGAUGCUAAUACCGUAUAAGCUCACGAUUUGACUAGUUGUGGGAAAAGAUGGCCUAGUCUAUGCUAUCGCUUGAAGAUGAGUCCGCGUACCAUUAGCUAGUUGGUAGGGUAAUGGCCUACCAAGGCUACGAUGGUUAGCUGGCCUGAGAGGGCGGCCAGCCACACUGGAACUGAGACACGGUCCAGACUCCUACGGGAGGCAG
rnacentral:rRNA from 1 species